CUCUCUCUGCCCCUCCCCCGUUCAUGCUCUGUCUCUCUCUGUCUCAAAAAUAAAUAAACGUUAAAAAAAAAAUAAAAAAAAAUAACAAGGGAAAGAAUAAACACAGAAAGAGAUUCUGACACUUUCUUUUGCACCCCACCGGGGGCGACUCCGUGUUUCCCCUGGGAUGUCCCACCCCUUCUCGGGACGUUCCCGGUCUGAGGUCGGAGGUGGUGACGGGUGACCCCAGAGUGCACAGGAGGGCCCGAGGGAACCUCGUCCGAGAAAAGCCAUUUGUUACUGUCCCUUUGUCCCACUCACACCCCGCGCUGGGCCCGGGACACAAACUCCCCGUUCUGCGCCCCCCCCCCGCCCCCCACCGCUGCAGCCCUGGCAGUCACUGCCGUCUUUUGUCGCUGUGAGUUAAGCGCUCUAGGUACCUCACGUGGGUGCAGUCAGACGGUAUCCGGCUUCUGACGUCCGGCUCUUUCGCCGAGCGUGAUGUCUUCAAGGUUGGUCCGUGUUGUGGCCGAGUGGCAGCCCGUCGCCUGCACGCACCACGUUUGGUCGUCCAUUCGCCUGGUGACGGGCACCCGGGUUCUCUUCACCCGUCAGCCACCGCGAGUCAUCUGCUGGGAACACGGGUGCGCAAAUAUCCCUUCGAGUCCCUGCUUCCCAUUCCCGGUGCCUUCUAGAGAGAGAGAGAGAGAGAGAGAGCGUUUGGACAAGUUUUUCCCAUGGUUUGGGAAUCACGGGUUUGUGGAUUACCGCGUGCCACGAGGACCGUCAUCGACGCGUACAGACUUCUCUGGGGACCAGAGCUAACGUUUACUGAGGAUCCCUGGAGGGGCUGAGACAAUGGCUUUGGCUCUUUUCACUCCUCAUGACCGUCUUCCUGAGUGGAUGUCAUCACCCCGUAGUACAGAUGCGCAAACGGAGCCUGGGUUGCUGAGGGUCUCACGGGAGCUGAGGGUCCGGGGGCCCCGACUCUGCACCCUCCUUUUUGGCACUUUUCACGGCAGCGCACUGGUUUUGUGUGCGUGUCAUAAGCUCGCUACGUCAAGUUGGCAAGACCCCCCCCCCCCCGGGGUCAGGACCACGCUUCCUCCUUCUCCUGCGUCUCCCACUCGGGCUGGAACUUGGACGAUGCUCAACGAAUGCUCUUAAAUCAGCGCCUCUGAGUUCUGAUGUCAGAGGAGUGGUCUCAGGACCCCCCCCGUUGUGUCCUUGUGCCAUUCUGCUGCCUGGAGGCACCCCUCUCACUCUCAGACGCGCCCUUUGGGGCCCAGCCUGGGGGCUCUUCUCAGGACCGCCCCGCACACCCUGUCCUGCAUGCUUGCGGCUCUCUGUUGGAGCUCACCUCUCCGUGGGACGGUCAUGAUAGGCAAAACUGUGCACCAAUGGACUUCCCGAGGAGGAAAUAUGCUCCCUGUCAGCAAAAGGAGGCAAGUGGAGGCUGGGUGGCUCUGGAACCCGAAGCAAUCAGCCCUAGGACCCGAAGCCAGAAGAUGUAAAGAUUCAGGGGAGUCCUCCCCAGGGUUGGGGUGGGCCAGGCCCUGGAACUUGGAGUAGGCAUGGGUCACCCGUCUGACCAGACCCAGGCAACAGAAGCCAUGGCUCCAGUCCCUGGGUCCAAAGGCUUCUGGGACUUGGCCAAGCAGCCAUAUUGGGCCUCUGGACCUAUGAACCACAGACGAGGCCUGGGAGACAGGAAAUGGCCCUGCUCAGGGCCCAAAAGCCCCCUUAGCAUACCCUCACUCCCUCCCCGCCUCCCACAGUGGCCUCAGGCCCCUGCGCCCCGCGCCCAUGGGGUUAAAUCUCUCCCUGUCUCUCUCUGCUCCAAGUUGUUUUCCAAGUGAAGCAGAGAAUGGUUCUCUUGUUACCAACAUGGCUUCUGGGCAUUGGGUAAUGCGCUCCCUCUUCUCCCUGCUCCGCUCCACAAAGGGACCUUUUGUUCCUCUCCCUGCCCCUCUCUCUGGCUCUUCCCCGGCCCCCCACCCACCCCAACUCCCUCCUCCCUGCCUCCCGCCCCACACUGCACCCCUGGGCUGUGAGGAGUGACCAUGGUCUGGCUGUGGUGCCCUCCCUCUCUCAAGGCGCCCAGGGAGGAGAAGGGGCCUUGUGGCCGCGGCGGCCAUUUUGAGAGCGGCCAUUCCAGGCGGUCCCGGGCUUCCGUGAGGCUUGCGGGGUUGGGGAGGCCACAGUGGGGUGGCUGGGGCUCAGCAGGAGGUCUUGUGGUGCACCUCCUGUCCUCCAGGGAGUGGGGGGAGGGACCCUCCCACCCACCACCCUGACCCGGGCCGCCUCCUUGCACUGAGACAAGACACCUUCCCAUCCACCAUCUCGCUUGACCCGCACAGCAGCCCAAGGGGCGGGAGUGACACCCCGUCUUCCACAGGUGGAGACUGAGGCUCAGCGGGGUAAGUGUCCUUCCCCACCAGGGGCUCAGUGAGCAGGUGCUGCAGCUAGACGGAGCUGCGUGCUCCUCCCCUGAAACCUCUCCAGGAAAGAGCCCUCAGAAUGUGCCCUGACCCAUGGGACACGCCGUGAUGGAUCUGGGCCACCAGAGGAAGCCUAAAACCAAAUUUACUGGAGUCUUUUUUGCAAACGGAACAGAUUGUGCCCGAGAUGGGAGUGUCAGGAAGCCAGUCAGAUACUGAAGUGUCUGCUCUCAAGGGAAGACGGUCUCUGUCCACUGUCCCCUCCCUUGCCUCCUCACAACAGGCCUGCAAGGCAGGCAGGGACAGGCUGACGACAACAUUUUUCAGAUGAGGAAACAGGCCCAAAGAGGAUCCAGGGCCAGGACUCGGCGCUCACCCGGUUAGAUUCCAGCUCUGGUUGUUGUCUCUUUCCGGGGCCGCUCCCCACCCCUCGAGAGGCCCAGGGACUCGGGGAGGGGACUGAGCUGGGUCCCAGCAGUCCCAGCCACCCCAUCGGCAACCACAGGAGCCAGAGCCCUGAGGAUGUUGUAUUCAGGUGCCUCAAACAUCCAUCGAUUCCCCCAUCACACUCCGUCCCUGUGUCUACAGAGAUGUGAAACAGAGCACCCGCGUGUGCCCGUGAUGUAUAUUCCCCUGUGACCACUGAGCUGGGUCUGGGGCCUUCGGGCCACUGCGAGAAGUAAAAUGGGUAGAUUGGGGAUGGGUGGAUGGGCAGCUGGGGGGAACAGAGAGGGCACGAAGAUUUAUCCAGAGCUGAAUACACCCCCCUGGGCCUGCCCUCAGGGAGCCACAGUCCAGGAGGAGAGCUACAUCCGUAGAGAGCCAGUGGGCUGUCAGAGAGGGGGCCUGGGAGCUCACCGCUGGCUGGGAGGUUGAGGCAGGAAGGCUUCUUGGAGCCGGGGACCGAGGACAGAGCCUGAAAAGACGAGGAUAAGUUAACCAGGCAACGAAAUUGAGACGGAAGGUUGGAAAGGAGCUGGCAGAGGGGGUGGGGCUGGGGCUGAGAAGGAGGUGAAUGGUGUGCGAUGGGGUAAAGAGGCUACCCGUGUGCCAGAGCAGAGUGGGGACGGGGAAGGUGGAAGAGGUGGGUAGGGGGAGGAACCACGUGGGCUGCCGAGGGUAAGUCAGGGGGGCUCCUGCUGUGGAUGCCCCGAUAAGGUACACGGACGAGGUCUCGAGGGAUAGUGGGGUGGUCGCUGAAGGAUUUUAAAGGGGUCAGGGCUGGGUCUGUGCCAGUCUGGUUUAUUACUGUUUUCCCAGCGCCCGGCUCAGUGCCCGGCAUACAGCAGGCGCUCAAUAAAUGUUUUGGAUCAAUGCA